UACAGUGGGUGCAAACGUUGCUCGGAAUCAUUGGGCGUAAAGCGCACGUAGGCGGUUCGUUAUGUCGGAUGUGAAAGCCCUUGGCUUAACCGAGGAAGUGCAUCCGAAACUGGCGAGCUAGAGUACGAAAGAGGAUCGCGGAAUUCCCGGUGUAGAGGUGAAAUUCGUAGAUAUCGGGAGGAACACCAGUGGCGAAGGCGGCGACCUGGGCCAAUAUUGACGCUGAGGUGCGAAAGCGUGGGGAGCAAACAGG
rnacentral:rRNA from 1 species